GCUAAGAAUAUUCCGCAAUGGACGAAAGUCUGACGGAGCGACGCCGCGUGGAUGAUGAAGGCCGGAAGGUUGUAAAAUCCUUUUAUGACUGAGGAAUAAGUGAAGUGAGGGAAACGCUUCAUGGUGACUGUAGGUCAUGAAUAAGCAACGGCUAAUUACGUGCCAGCAGCCGCGGUAACACGUAAGUUGCGAGCGUUGUUCGGAAUUAUUGGGCGUAAAGGGUAUGUAGGCGGUUCUGCAAGUCUGGUGUGAAAUGCCGGGGCUCAACCCCGGAACUGCGUUGGAAACUGCAGGACUUGAAUCGCUGAGGGGCAGCCAGAAUUCCAGGUGUAGGGGUGAAAUCUGUAGAUAUCUGGAAGAAUACCAAUGGCGAAGGCAGGCUGCCAGCAGAUGAUUGACGCUGAGGUACGAAGGUGCGGGGAGCAAACAGGAUUAGAUACCCCAGUAGUCC
rnacentral:rRNA from 1 species